GCCAGGCAUGGUGGCGCACACCUGUGGUCCCAUGCUCAGGAGGCUGAGGUGGGAGGAUCGCUUGAGCCCAGGAGGUCAAGAUUGCAGUGAGCUAUGAUUGUCACUGCAAUGCAGCCUGGGCAACAAAGUGAGACCCUAUUUCUG
ensembl:misc_RNA Metazoa_SRP Metazoan signal recognition particle RNA